AUUGAACGCUGGCGGCCGGCUUAACACAUGCAAGUCGAGCGGGGAGAUGUAGCUUGCUACAUUUCCUAGCGGCGGACGGGUGAGUAAUGCUUAGGAAUCUGCCUAUUAGUGGGGGACAACGUUUCGAAAGGAACGCUAAUACCGCAUACGCCCUACGGGGGAAAGCAGGGGAUCUUAGGACCUUCAUCUAAUCGAUGAGCCUAAGUCAUAUUAGCGAGUUGGUGGGGUAAAGGCCUACCAAGGCGACGAUCUGUAGCGGGUCUGAGAGGAUGAUCCGCCACACUGGGACUGAGACACGGCCCAGACUCCUACGGGAGGCAGCAGUGGGGAAUAUUGGACAAUGGGGGGAACCCUGAUCCAGCCAUGCCGCGUGUGUGAAGAAGGCCUUUUGGUUGUAAAGCACUUUAAGCGAGGAGGAGGCUACUAGUACUAAUACUACUGGAUAGUGGACGUUACUCGCAGAAUAAGCACCGGCUAACUCUGUGCCAGCAGCCGCCGUAAGAC
rnacentral:rRNA from 1 species